CCCAAGAGAUCGGGAUAACACCUGGAAACAGAUGCUAAUACCGGAUAAUAACAGAUGAUGCCUAUCAACUGUUUAAAAGAAUGGUUCUGCUAUCACUCUUGGAUGGACCUGCGGUGCAUUAGCUAGUUGGUAGGGUAACGGCCUACCAAGGCGAUGAUGCAUAGCCGAGUUGAGAGACUGAUCGGCCACAUUGGGACUGAGACACGGCCCAAACUCCUCGGGAGGCAGCAGCC
rnacentral:rRNA from 1 species